rnacentral:rRNA from 1 species
CCUACGGGAGGCAGCAGUGGGGGAUAUUGCACAAUGGGGGAAACCCUGAUGCAGCGACGCCGCGUGGGCGAAGAAGUAUUUCGGUAUGUAAAGCCCUAUCAGCAGGGAAGAAGAACUGACUGUACCUGAGUAAGAAGCACCGGCUAAAUACGUGCCAGCAGCCGCGGUAAUACGUAUGGUGCAAGCGUUAUCCGGAUUUACUGGGUGUAAAGGGAGCGCAGGCGGCACGGCAAGCCUGAUGUGAAAGCCCGCGGCCCAACCGCGGGACUGCAUUGGGAACUACCGGGCUGGAGUGCCGGAGAGGUAGGCGGAAUUCCUAGUGUAGCGGUGAAAUGCGUAGAUAUUAGGAGGAACACCAGUGGCGAAGGCAGCCUACUGGACGGUGACUGACGCUGAGGCUCGAAAGCGUGGGGAGCAAACAGGAUUAGAUACCCCAGUAGUC